UCCUGGUUCUCAUGUGCCCGUCAAGUCGGGACAGACACACGCUGCACACAAAGUCAACACACUAAUGUGUUUCAGUGAAUGUUAAAACCGAAAGGGAUGCCGGGUAAAUGGGGAGCACAUGAGGACCGUACAUGGUGCCAGUGUACCAGCCGGGGUCUUCUCGACUGUCGGCUGGCACGGGAGGCGACGUGAGGGAGGCGGCACAGGCUGGCAGCAAGACCCGGGUGUGGAGCGCUCCAGGUAACAAGCUGACUUGAGACAGACGAAGGCGGCUUUGGAUGCUGAACUUUCCAUCUGGGCCUCUACUGGGCCGACUGGUGUUGAAGUCUGUCAGCUCGACGGUGUCAUCCAGAAGCCAGGAGACGUUAACGGACGGGGGGCUGAAGCCGAACACCAGACACACAAGUUCACCGGAACCCCGGAGCAAGAUGGCAGACGGCUGGGAAGGAGUCACUGCGGCUGUGGAGAUGAAAGUUGUAAUGCUCUUCACCUCCAAAUACACUUCAUUUUUAGAUGUGUCUUUGGUUAUGACAAAUUGACCGGCAAGAUUUUGGGCAAAUGCUGUGCCAGUUCCGCCAUCGAUUCGUCCGAUCCAUUCCAGUCCUUUUCCCGGCUUCUGACGAAUCCAGUGCAACCAAGCAAGAGCAAGUCCUUGCACUUUACAGGACAGGGUGACUGACUGUCCAGGUCCUUUGACCACUGGCCCAGAGGACGUGAGGGACUGACCCUGAGCAACUGGGAAAGCCAGAUAAGAUUAAAGACUUUCAAAAGAUUCAUUUUCCUUCCCCUGCAUGGUGUAAGCAUCACUCACCUGAAAUGAGAGCCAAAAGGAAGACGAAUCCCGUCAUGGUGGGGGAGUGACUGCAAGAACUCAAUAUGGGAAGUCUCAAUGAGGCAUUUAAAGCAUGCAAGCGGUAUGGGUGUGCACUGAAUUUACAUUUUUAGAAGGCUGGGGUGGGGGCGUGACACAACACAGAUGGUAAAAAGGUUCCGAAGAAGAGUGAUGCUGAUUUCUGUGAAUUUCUUUCCUUCAAUCGACACGGCCUUUGUUGGCCUGGACAUGACAUGCAGAGAUCUUUACAAGGAUCUUCUAUCUUAUGUAUUGUUAGCCACACAUGAAAUGGCAAUUCCAUAGUUGUGACUGUACUGUUGCAUUAUUGCCGUACAUUGUAUUGUAUUGUAUUGUAUGUACUUUAUUUAUCCCACAGCGGGGAAAUUUACUUGUUACAGCAGCAAGACAAGUAAAGAGAACAGUGUAAAGAAAGAAAGCAUAGUGUCUACAACAUGGUUCAGGUGGUGCAGGUGUUGUAGAGCCUGACAGCGGUCGGUAUGAAGGACCUGCGCAACCUCUCCUUCUUACACCGUGGGUGUAACAGUCUGCUGCUGAAGGAGCUGCUAAGGGAACCCACAGUGUCAUGUAGCGGGUGAGAGGUGUUGUCCAUGAUGGAUGUCAGCUUAGCCAACAUCCUUCUCUCCCCCACUUCCUCCACGGAGUCCAGAGGACCGUCCAGGACAGAGCUAGCUCGCCUGAUCAGCCUAUUGAUCCUGCUCCUGUCCCUGUCCGUGCUGCCCCCUCUCCAGCAGCCCACAGCAUAGAAGAUGGCUGAGGCCACCACAGAGUCAUAGAAGGUCCGUAAAAGAGUCCUGCACACACCAAAGGACCUCAGUCUCCUCAGCAGGUGGAGGCGACUCUGGCCCUUCUUGUAGAGGGCGUGGGUGUUGACGGACCAGUCCCGUUUGUUGUUAAGGUGAACACCCAGGAAUUUGUAGCUGUCUACCAACUCUAUGUCCGCUCCCUGGAUGUUCACAUUGUAGCACAAUGGCACAAGAUCAUCACAUCACAUUGUAGUGAUGAUCAAAUGAAUCUUGGAUAAUGUUUGGUCUUUCUUGAUUGAUGAUUUAAUCCUGGACACAAAAGGACACAAAAACCUGACAGGAACAUGAUGGUUUCAUUGAGUGGCUCUAAUAUAAAACUGCAGCCUGUCAAAUCAUUUGCAGUGGAAGUCAUUAUUGAAUUCAUCUUACAGAAAAUACUGGCAAAGUACAGGAAUUUUGUAAAUCCAACAAAAAUACUGUUCGUGUCUGCCGCCAUCACACGUGUUGGACAGAGCUCGUUCCGUACACGGCGGCUGACUUCUCGCUUUUCGUCCUAAUGAAUAUUUACUCUUCUGCCAGUCUUAAAGUUACCAUUUUAACAUUCCCAACUGUCUUCUACAAAUAUAAAGACUUGUUAUAUACGGUGGAAUCUCCGUUAUCUUACAUCCCACUUUGCAUAUUUGUCAAUUGACGUUUACAAAAAAAUUCUGACUCGGUUUGCAUACAUUUGAGCGUGCAAUAAGGUGCGUGUCUUCUAAAUGCAAUUUUAUCGCAGAACGCCAUUGUUAGCAGCCUAUUAGCUUGCUAUUACAUGGAAACAGGAAGCAGGAGUCGGCUCUGUCACCCGUCUAUGAUGUCAUCAGCAGUUGACGCUGUAGUUCUUUGCUAGCUAACACAGUUUUACCAGAAGUCUCAAAAAGGUCAACACAAAAGACGUUUUCAUACUUUUACAAUUACAGUUUUACACGCAUACAUCAAUUCUAAAUGCAUAGAAAUGAUUAACUUUUAAGGGUACUUUUACCUUCAUUCAGCAGUGUUUCUCAUCUUUUUUAUCAAUAUGCUGCAACUUUCUUUGGCUCCAUUUUAGGGGGGUUUUUUGCAGCUGUGCUCAAAAGAAAAGCAGAUAACACAUGGCAAAACAGGAAGGUGGUGUCCGUGUUGAUCUCGCUGCCACAUUGUGUCUUUGUCAACAAUCAGGUGUUCAAUGAAGGUAAAAGUAACCUUAAAUGUUCAUUUAUCCCUUUCAUUCAUCAUUUAUAUGCAUUUAGAAUUGUUGUAUGCAUGUAAAACUACAAAAACGUGUUUUAUGUUAAUGUUUUUGGCUUUCUGGAACAAUGCAUCUUGCCAAUGUUGCCAUGGAACUAUGAAUUAUGGACCAUUUUUGUCAUGCUGUAUGCUUCAUGUGACAUCAUUCAUUCAAGUCGUCAUUCAGAGUGUUGACACACUUUUUGUUUUUGUUGCAGUGUGCUGAUGGUUUGUGUUGUUGUGUGUCUGGCACAGUAAUACACUGCAGUGUCUCCAGGCUGCAUGUUUUGCCCUUUUAGAGUCACUGUUUUGCUGGAGCGCUUUACUUCAAUACUGAACUUGUUCCUCAGUGAGUCCUGGUAGUAAGCAUCGUCAGUAUCUGCCAUCCCAAUCCACUCCAGUCCUCUCCCAGCGGUCUGCCUGACCCACGCUGUGAAGUAGCUGCCCACAUCAUAAGACACCUGACAGUCGAUGCUCAGACUCUGACCAGGCUGCAGAGUCACAGACGGCGGCUGGGUCAGCUGUUCACACUUGACACCUGCGGGGGAAAGAUGUGAAAUAUUAAAUGUGAUGGAUCUUGGCUCACGCGUUCCUCAGUGACACUCACAGGAACCUGCAGCCAGCAACAGCAGCAGAACUAGACGGAGCAUGGUUGGUCCUGAAGGUGUUCCGACGGGCUGGAACUUCUCGUCCCGGAGGACAUGACGGCAAGUUUUAUAGCUCACGGGUGGGAGGUUGACUUUGCAUAGAGACACUCCAGGUGUUCUUCAAGAUGGCGCACAGUGCUCGUAUGCCUCAAAACAUUUGCUCUUCCCGUUUACAGUUUUACUGUUCUUCCUUCUUUUGGCUGUAAAUCCAAUGUAUUAUUAGCAUUACCUGGUUGGGAGUCACUAAACCACAUCAUAUAUAUCACUCUCCUAUUGUUUCGGCAUGAUUCUAAUACAUUUAGUAUUCCCACAGGAGCAAACAUGAGGCAUUAAUGGCAAUGGAAGUCUUUACAGUUGAAUCUAUGUUCAUUUGCAUUUUUACCAAACGUAUACACUCUCAAAUUGCUCCAAUAUUUCACUUUAUAGAUCUCAGCAGUAGGGUACUAUGCUAAAACAUAGAAUUCUUUCCAAUUCUUACAUUCAAGGUCAACACUGACAUUUAACAUACAGGUUGAGAUAUCUACGGUACUUCUUUUUAUAUUUACUAUUAUUGCAAUCUCUUAAAGAGCAUUUGUCUUUCACUAAAACGUAUGUGUUUUUAGAAUAAUAUAAUGUACUGUUAUGUUACCUUAUGUUAUGUUGUCUUAUCUUACGUUGUAUAUGGAUGUAAUUAUAUAAAGGUCUCAAAAAUGGCAACACAAAACACGUUUUUAUAGUUUUGCACUUGUAGUUCUACAUGCAUAAAACAAUUCUACAUGCACAUGAAUGAGAAUGAAAGGGAUAAAUGAACAUUUAAGGUUACUUUUACCUUCAUUCCGUAGUGUUUUACAUCUUGUUUAUCAAAAUGCUGGCACUUGCAACUUUCUUUGGCUCAAUUUUGGAGGUUUUUUGCAGUCAUGCUCAAAAGAAAAGCAGAGGCUGAAGGUGAGAAAUGCUACUGAAUUAAAAAAAAUAACUCAUGGCAAAACAGGAAGGUGGUGUCCAUGUUGAUCUCGCUGCCACCUUGUGUCUUUGUCAACAAUCAGGUCUUCAAUGAAGGUAAAAGUAACCUUGAAUGCUCUUUUAUCUCUUUCAUUCAUCAUUUAUAUGCAUUUAGAAUUGUUGUAUGCAUGUAAAACUAUAAAAAUGGGUUUUAUGUUAACAUUUUGGGCUAUUUUGAACAAAUUCAGUUGACUUGCAUUAUUUCUUAUGGGAAAAAUUGAUUUGGUCGACGUACGUUUUGGUUAGAGUUGGACCCUCUGGAACAGAUUGACACUAACCAAGGUUCCACUUAUAUUUUAAAUGCAUAACCCCAUGUGGGUAAAUAACAAUGCAUCUUGCCAAUGUUGCCAUGGAACUAUGAAUUAUGGACCAUUUUUGUCAUGCUGUAUGCUUCAUGUGACAUCAUUCAUUCACGUCGUCAUUCAGAGUGUUGACACACUUUUUGUUUUUGUUGCAGUGUGCUGAUGGUUUGUGUUGUUGUGUGUGUCUGGCACAGUAAUACACUGCAGUGUCUCCAGGCUGCAUGUUUUGCCCUUUUAGAGUCACUGUUUUGCUGGAGCGCUUUACUUCAAUACUGAACUUGUUCCUCAGUGAGUCCUGGUAGUAAGAGCUGCCCGUAUAUGCGCUCCCAAUCCACUCCAGUCCUCUCCCAGCGGUCUGCCUGACCCACGCUGUGAAGUAGCUGCCCACAUCAUAAGACACCUGACAGUCGAUGCUCAGACUCUGACCAGGCUGCAGAGUCACAGACGGCGGCUGGGUCAGCUGUUCACACUUGACACCUGCGGGGGAAAGAUGUGAAAUAUUAAAUGUGAUGGAUCUUGGCUCACGCGUUCCUCAGUGACACUCACAGGAACCUGCAGCCAGCAACAGCAGCAGAACUAGACGGAGCAUGGUUGGUCCUGAAGGUGUUCCGACGGGCUGGAACUUCUCGUCCCGGAGGACAUGACGGCAAGUUUUAUAGCUCACGGGUGGGAGGUUGACUUUGCAUAGAGACACUCCAGGUGUUCUUCAAGAUGGCGCACAGUGCUCGUAUGCCUCAAAACAUUUCCUCUUCCCGUUUACUUACAGUUUUACUGUUCUUCCUUCUUUUGGCUGUAAAUCCAAUGUAUUAUUAGCAUUACCUGGUUGGGAGUCACUAAACCACAUCAUAUAUAUCAUAUAUAUCCUCUUUUUUUGGAUUCGAUUCUAAUAAAGCCCUGUGAUUGACUGAAGACCAGUCCACGGUGUACCCCGCCUCUCGCCCAAAGUUAGCUGGGAUAGGCUCCAGCAUCCCCCCCGCGACCCUUGUGAGGAUAAGCGUCAUAGAAGGUGGAUGGAUGGGUUCUAAUACAUUUAGUAUUCCCACAGGAGCAAACAUGAGGCUUUACAGUUGAAUCUGUGUUCAUUUGCAUUUUUACCAAACGUAUACACUCUCAAAUUGCUCCAAUAUUUCACUUUAUAGAUCUCAGCAGUAGGGUACUAUGCUAAAACAUAGAAUUCUUUCCAAUUCUUACAUUCAAGGUCAACACUGACAUUUAACAUACAGGUUGAGAUAUCUACGGUACUUCUUUUUAUAUUUACUAUUAUUGCAAUCUCUUAAAGAGCAUUUGUCUUUCACUAAAACGUAUGUGUUUUUAGAAUAAUAUAAUAUUGUUAUGUAAUAUAAUGUAAUUGUAUUUCAUAAUAUGUGCAUUGCAUUUAAUAUUUUAUUAUUGUAUUACAAGUAAAUUAUAUUAUGUUAUAUUAUAUUAUACUA